rnacentral:tRNA from 1 species
GAGGGUAUAGCUUGGUGGUAGAGUGCAUGCCUAGCAUGCAGGAGGUCCUGGGUUCAAUCCCCAAUACCUCCA